rnacentral:rRNA from 1 species
AUUGAACGCUGGCGGCAUGCCUUACACAUGCAAGUCGAACGGCAGCACGGGUGCUUGCACCUGGUGGCGAGUGGCGAACGGGUGAGUAAUAUAUCGGAACGUACCUUCUUGUGGGGGAUAACGCAGCGAAAGCUGUGCUAAUACCGCAUAAUCCCUAAGGGGGAAAGCGGGGGACCGUAAGGCCUCGCGCAAUUAGAGCGGCCGAUACCUGAUUAGCUAGUUGGUGAGGUAAAGGCUCACCAAGGCAACGAUCAGUAGCUGGUCUGAGAGGACGAUCAGCCCCACUGGGACUGAGACACGGCCCAGACUCCUACGGGAGGCAGCAGUGGGGAAUUUUGGACAAUGGGGGCAACCCUGAUCCAGCAAUGCCGAGUGAGUGAAGAAGGCCUUCGGGUUGUAAAGCUCUUUUGUCAGGGAAGAAACAGCAGCUCUAACACAGUAUGCGAAUGACGGUACCUGAAGAAUAAGCACCGGCUAACUACGUGCCAGCCGCCGCCGUAA